rnacentral:misc_RNA from 1 species
GCACUUUCAAGAAUUUAAAAUGCAAAAAAAGGGCAUCCACAAAUUCAAAAAUAACACAAAAUUACACGAUCAUGAGAAGCAAAGUGAGAGCAAAACAAAAGCAUUAAAACAAACAAAUCUUAGAGAUCUCAACACAAGUUGUGGUUGAUAUCCAAUCUCACCACACUCCUACUUGUUACACACUGCAAAACAAAAACCACUUUAACAUAUAAAAAACUCUCUUUGCUGUCGCCUCCCUUCCAUCUUCCUCCGAUUUACCGGAAAAAAGAAAGGAAAGAAAGAAGGAAAGAGAGAAAGAAUAUCACAGCACACACACAAA